rnacentral:rRNA from 1 species
AGUGAACGCUGGCGGUAGGCCUAACACAUGCAAGUCGAACGGCAGCACAGUAAGAGCUUGCUCUUACGGGUGGCGAGUGGCGGACGGGUGAGGAAUACAUCGGAAUCUACUUUUUCGUGGGGGAUAACGUAGGGGAACUUACGCUAAUACCGCAUACGACCUACGGGUGAAAGCAGGGGAUCUUCGGACCUUGCGCGAUUGAAUGAGCCGAUGUCGGAUUAGCUAGUUGGCGGGGUAAAGGCCCACCAAGGCGACGAUCCGUAGCUGGUCUGAGAGGAUGAUCAGCCACACUGGAACUGAGACACGGUCCAGACUCCUACGGGAGGCAGCAGUGGGGAAUAUUGGACAAUGGGCGCAAGCCUGAUCCAGCCAUACCGCGUGGGUGAAGAAGGCCUUCGGGUUGUAAAGCCCUUUUGUUGGGAAAGAAAAGCAGCAGGUUAAUACCCCGCUGUUCUGACGGUACCCAAAGAAUAAGCACCGGCUAACUUCGU